GGCUUCAUAGCUCAGCCGCGGUUAGCCAGUAGAGCAUCGCAUCGGAAACGCGGAGGUAAUGGAUUCAAAUCCCGUUGAAGCCC